CCUACGGGAGGCAGCAGUAGGGAAUAUUGCUCAAUGGGGGAAACCCUGAAGCAGCAACGCCGCGUGGAGGAUGAAGGUUUUCGGAUUGUAAACUCCUUUUGUUAGAGACGAUAAUGACGGUAUCUAACGAAUAAGCACCGGCUAACUCCGUGCCAGCAGCCGCGGUAAUACGGAGGGUGCAAGCGUUACUCGGAAUCACUGGGCGGAAAGAGCGCGUAGGCGGGAUAGCAAGUCAGAUGUGAAAUCCUAUGGCUUAACCAUAGCACUGCAUUUGAAACUGUUAUUCUAGAGUAUGGGAGAGGUAGGUGGAAUUCUUGGUGUAGGGGUAAAAUCCGUAGAGAUCAAGAGGAAUACUCAUUGCGAAGGCGACCUGCUAGAACAUAACUGACGCUGAUGCGCGAAAGCGUGGGGAGCAAACAGGAUUAGAUACCCCAGUAGUC
rnacentral:rRNA from 1 species